rnacentral:rRNA from 1 species
GGUGAGUAGCACGUGGAUAACCUACCUAUAAGACUGGGAUAACUUCGGGAAACCGGAGCUAAUACCGGAUAAUAUUUUGAACCGCAUGGUUCAAAAGUGAAAGACGGUCCUGCUGUCACUUAUAGAUGGAUCCGCGCUGCAUUAGCUAGUUGGUAAGGUAACGGCUUACCAAGGCAACGAUGCAUAGCCGACCUGAGAGGGUGAUCGGCCACACUGGAACUGAGACACGGUCCAG